rnacentral:rRNA from 1 species
CAGUCGAACGAAGCACUUUAAUUGAUUUCUUCGGAAUGAAGUUUUUGUGACUGAGUGGCGGACGGGUGAGUAACGCGUGGGUAACCUGCCUCAUACAGGGGGAUAACAGUUGGAAACGACUGCUAAUACCGCAUAAGCGCACAGGAUUGCAUGAUCCAGUGUGAAAAACUCCGGUGGUAUGAGAUGGACCCGCGUCUGAUUAGCCAGUUGGCGGGGUAACGGCCCACCAAAGCGACGAUCAGUAGCCGACCUGAGAGGGUGACCGGCCACAUUGGGACUGAGACACGGCCCAAACUCCUACGGGAGGCAGCAGUGGGGAAUAUUGCACAAUGGGGGAAACCCUGAUGCAGCGACGCCGCGUGAGCGAAGAAGUAUUUCGGUAUGUAAAGCUCUAUCAGCAGGGAAGAAGAAUGACGGUACCUGACUAAGAAGCACCGGCUAAAUACGUGCCAGCAGCCGCGGUAAUACGUAUGGUGCAAGCGUUAUCCGGAUUUACUGGGUGUAAAGGGAGCGCAGGCGGUGCGGCAAGUCUGAUGUGAAAGCCCGGGGCUCAACCCCGGUACUGCAUUGGAAACUGUCGUACUAGAGUGUCGGAGGGGUAAGCGGAAUUCCUAGUGUAGCGGUGAAAUGCGUAGAUAUUAGGAGGAACACCAGUGGCGAAGGCGGCUUACUGGACGAUAACUGACGCUGAGGCUCGAAAGCGUGGGGAGCAAACAGGAUUAGAUACCCUGGUAGUCCACGCCGUANACGAUGAAUACUAGGUGUUGGGAANCAUUGCUUCUCGGUGCCGU